AGCAGCCGCGGUAAUUCCAGCUCCAAUAGCGUAUAUUAAAGUUGUUGCAGUUAAAAAGCUCGUAGUUGAAUUUCGGGAUCAAUAUGUUGGUCGUGCCUUGGUACGUACUGGCAUUAUUGGUUCCUACCUUCUGAAGAACCUCGAUGUCAUUAAUUUGGUGUCUUGGGGAAUCAGGACUGUUACUUUGAAAAAUUAGAGUGUUUAAAGCAGGCUCGCGCUUGAAUACAUUAGCAUGGAAUAAUGAAAUAGGACGUUUGAUUCUAUUUUGUUGGUUUCUAGGAUCGACGUAAUGAUUAAUAGGGAUAGUUGGGGGCAUUAGUAUUCAAUUGUCAGAGGUGAAAUUCUUGGAUUUAUUGAAGACUGACUACUGUCGAAAGCAUUUGCCAAGGAUGUUUUCAUUAAUCAAGAACGAAAGUUAGGGGAUCGAAGACGAUCAGAUACCGUCGUAGUCUUAACCAUAAACUAUGCCGACUAGGGAUCGGAUGAUUAGUUUUAAUUUUUUAAUGUACUUACAUUCCGG
rnacentral:rRNA from 1 species